GGGGUCUGUUUUGUUCGACAAUGCUUUGGAGUUGCUGUCUCCUUGCGAGGUUAUGGCAUUAAUCAUUUAUGAGUUGAAAAAAGGGGCGAAAUAGAUGGUUAGAGAAAGGAAAUGGAAGCUGCUCAUUGCUCACUUUGGUAGACACAUGGAAAAAAGAGACUGAUGAAAAAGAUGUGACAAGCGAAAUAGAAAAUGAUACUUAAUUUUGAAGGCUUUGUGUUGGGCAGCUGUAGAAUAUUUUGUGCUGAAAGUAGUAACUUUUCAAUAUGUUGAAUAUUUAAGACUACUUGAAUACUUAAAGAACAUUUUGUUGUUGAUGACAGUAUUGAAUGUUUUAAACUAAUUUGUGGAUUGUUAAUACAAUGUUGAAUGUUUUUAUUUUUUGUUA